rnacentral:pre_miRNA from 1 species
UCAUCUAGGACCUGAUCCAAAGCCCGUUGAAGUCAAUGGGAAUCUUUCCAUUGAUUUCAAUGGGAUUUGGAUCAAGCACUGAAAUGA